rnacentral:rRNA from 1 species
AUUGAACGCUGGCGGCAUGCCUUACACAUGCAAGUCGAACGGCAGCACGGACUUCGGUCUGGUGGCGAGUGGCGAACGGGUGAGUAAUAUAUCGGAACAUACCUUGUAGUGGGGGAUAACUAUCCGAAAGGAUAGCUAAUACCGCAUACGCUCUAAGGAGGAAAGCUGGGGAGCGUAAGACCUCGGGCUAUAAGAGUGGCCGAUAUCUGAUUAGCUAGUUGGUGAGGUAAAGGCUCACCAAGGCGACGAUCAGUAACUGGUCUGAGAGGACGACCAGCCACACUGGAACUGAGACACGGUCCAGACUCCUACGGGAGGCAGCAGUGGGGAAUAUUGGACAAUGGGGGGAACCCUGAUCCAGCCAUGCCGCGUGUGUGAAGAAGGCCUUAUGGUUGUAAAGCACUUUAAGCGAGGAGGAGGCUACUGAGACUAAUACUCUUGGAUAGUGGACGUUACUCGCAGAAUAAGCACCGGCUAACUCUGUGCCAGCAGCCGCGGUAACAC